CGGGGUGCACCAGGCGCGAAAACUUUACAAUGCGGGAAACCGUGAUAAGGGGACACCGAGUGCCAGCAUCAUAUGCUGGCUGUCCGGGUGUGUAAAAUACACCCGUCAGCAAGGGCCGGGCAAGACCGGUGCCAGCCGCCGCGGUAACACCGGCGGCCCGAGUGGUGAUCGUGAUUAUUGGGUCUAAAGGGUCCGUAGCCGGUUUGGUCAGUCCUCCGGGAAAUCUGACGGCUCAACCGUUAGGCUUUCGGGGGAUACUGCCAGGCUUGGAACCGGGAGAGGUAAGAGGUACUACAGGGGUAGGAGUGAAAUCUUGUAAUCCCUGUGAGACCACCUGUGGCGAAGGCGUCUUACCAGAACGGGUUCGACGGUGAGGGACGAAAGCUGGGGGCACGAACCGGAUUAGAUACCCGGGUAGUCCCAGCCGUAAACGAUGCUCGCUAGGUGUCAGGCAUGGCGCGACCGUGUCUGGUGCCGCAGGGAAGCCGUGAAGCGAGCCACCUGGGAAGUACGGCCGCAAGGCUGAAACUUAAAGGAAUUGGCGGGGGAGCACAAGGGCGAAUCGC
rnacentral:rRNA from 1 species